AGAGCGAACGCUGGCGGCAGGCUUAACACAUGCAAGUCGAGCGGGCGUAGCAAUACGUCAGCGGCAGACGGGUGAGUAACGCGUGGGAACGUACCUUUUGGUUCGGAACAACCCAGGGAAACUUGGGCUAAUACCGGAUAAGCCCUUACGGGGAAAGAUUUAUCGCCGAAAGAUCGGCCCGCGUCUGAUUAGCUAGUUGGUGAGGUAAUGGCUCACCAAGGCGACGAUCAGUAGCUGGUCUGAGAGGAUGAUCAGCCACAUUGGGACUGAGACACGGCCCAAACUCCUACGGGAGGCAGCAGUGGGGAAUAUUGGACAAUGGGCGCAAGCCUGAUCCAGCCAUGCCGCGUGAGUGAUGAAGGCCCUAGGGUUGUAAAGCUUCUUUUGUGCGGGAAGAUAAUGACGGUACCGCAAGAAUAAGCCCGGCUAACUUCGUGCCAGCAGCCGC
rnacentral:rRNA from 1 species